UACGUAGGGACCAAGCGUUGUUCGGAUUUACUGGGCGUAAAGGGCGCGUAGGCGGCGCGGUAAGUCACUUGUGAAAUCUCUGAGCUUAACUCAGAACGGCCAAGUGAUACUGCAGUGCUAGAGUGUGGAAGGGGCAAUCGGAAUUCUUGGUGUAGCGGUGAAAUGCGUAGAUAUCAAGAGGAACACCUGAGGUGAAGGCGGGUUGCUGGGCUGACACUGACGCUGAGGCGCGAAAGCUAGGGGAGCGAACGGG
rnacentral:rRNA from 1 species